AUCAACUGAAUUUACCCCAGGUGGACUCCAGUUAAUCUGUAGAAACAUCAAGGUUGAUGGAAACAGGAUGCACCUGAGCUCAAUUUUGAGAUUCAUGCCAAAGGCUGAGAAUACAUCUAAUUUCUUAGUUUAAGAUUUUUGCAAAUUUAUACAUAUAUAAAUUUUUUCACAUUGUCAUUAAUGGGGUAUUGUGUGUAGAAUUUUGAGGGAGAGAGAGGAAAAAAAAAAGUUUCAUCCAUUUAGGAAUAAGGCUGUAACAUUAAACAAUGUGGAAAAAUUAAAUGCUAUAAGGCUACAGGUUCCUCUAAACUUAACAAAAUAGGUAUUUGGGCUUUUAAUGAGUUGAAUUCUAAUUUGACUGCACUCAACUAGAUAUUUAUCAGCGAGUAUGAAUAUGUCAUUGUGAUUGUACAGUUUUUAUCAGUAUUGUCGUUUUAGUUUUGGAACAGUCAGUAACAAGUUUACAAGCUGGAAUUUAAACAUUAAUAAUGUCCAGUGUCAGAACUCAUAUUUGCAGUUUAUUGUUGUAGUUGUCCAGCACUGUGUGUGCCAGAAGUUGUAGAUAUAGAGAAACAGUUUGCACUUGUUCAAAACUUGCCUUAUAACAGUUAUGAAAACAACAUGGGUGGUGAAUGUUCCACCCCAUUCUCACGGUUACGGAUAUGCAUUGGGAAGUUCAGUUUGAAAACUCCUCCAUACUUUGGAAAACUUUAUAGAGGGUCCAAGAGACACUCCAUCGUGUUAUGGUCCUGUGUCAACUGUGGUGUAACUUUCAAGAUAUUAAGAAACAAGCAUGGAUUUUUUUUUUUUUUUUUUUUUUUUUUGAAGUUUCAGUUUUGUGCUGUAGUUGUGCUACAGGCGUGUUUUUGCACAUCACAUGGUACACGUCCGACAUGUUACAGUCAAACUGCACUCUUCACUAGAUGAUAAUUCUUGGAAGUUCUUUCAGUUCAUUCUAAUCCUCACUAGUGCCCCCUUAAGUUCGAGUCAUGAAUGACGAUAUCUGGUCUCUCGUAACUAUAUGUAGCCACUCCCACAGUGAAUGAAGGAACAAGACAGGAGUGAAACAGAGAGAGAGAGAGAUUGGGUCUGGCAUUGCUGCUGGUUGUUGUUAGCAACUUCCCUAACAAAUGAAGGAAAGCGGGUUUCUCGUUGACGAAUGUGCUGCUGCGGAGUGCCUCGUUAGCAUCGUGAGCCACUCCCACAGUGAAUGAAAGGAUGAGCAGCAGGGUUCCUACUGCUCGAGGCAAGAUGCCAGGUGGGAUGAAAUGUAAGACCAGAAUUACAGUAACUAAAAAUGAAUUUGGAGACAAAUGGUUGAGGGUUCGUGACAAAUUUGUCCAAAUUAUUUGGCAUACAGAAAUAAUUACUGGUUUCAGCCACGCUACAUAAUCUUCACUGAAAAGUCCGUUUUCAUUCAAUUUAUACUUCCCUGUCUCCAUUAGGUUUAGCGAGCUGAAAGCAUCUUUUGAGUGCUUCUGCAGCAAAUGAGUUUUUCGUUUCAUUGUCUCGCUGUGUGUGGCGUAAUGAGACCCUCACUAAAUAUUUUAUAUAUAAAAAAAAUAUAAAUCAUGAAUAAGUCAAACUUGCCCUGUUUAAAGUAUUCUGAAGGACUGAUUUAAGACAUUUUAUUAAUGUCAUUUUUCAAUUAAUUCAUUGUCUUAAACUUAGUUUUUUAUUUUUAAGGAUCUGUGUGAACCCUGAGCAGGAAUGAAUCAUUCUUUGACUGAAAAUAUUGAUUUGAAGUUAAACCAUGAGUUUUCACGAUGCAUGUGUUUGACAGUGAGAAUGCAGCUUUACAGUUCUGUAGUUUCUCCUGCACAGUUUGAAGUCUUACUGACGGAAGUGCUUAAAAGGUGAGAGAUUUUCUUCACUCAGUUGAAUUUGUAAUGUUUUAUUUUUAAUCUGCUCUCAAACAGUAGAUUUGGUUUUUUUGUUUUUUUUCUCCAAACAGUUGGUCAUCUCAGACAAAUGUUAAAUAUGACGUCCACUGAAGUACAGCUGCACAGUUAAUCCUAAUAAUCGUGAUCACGAGUUCAGAAAUGGUCACUUUACUCAAAAGCAUUUUGAGCCAU